GACAGAGGAUGCAAGCGUUAUCCGGAAUGAUUGGGCGUAAAGCGUCUGUAGGUGGCUUUCAAGUCCGCCGUCAAAUCCCAGGGCUCAACCCUGGACAGGCGGUGGAAACUACCAAGCUGGAGUACGGUAGGGCAGAGGGAAUUCCGGUGGAGCGGGUGAAAUGCAUUGAGAUCGGAAAGAACACCAACGGCGAAAGCACUCUGCUGGCCGACACUGACACUGAGAGACGAAGCUAGGGAGCAAAUGG
rnacentral:rRNA from 1 species